GCCACAAUGUAGACACCUUUAAAAUCUUGCUGAAACUUUAUCAACUAUAUCAAAGGGCACACAUUUUUAGUGUAUUUGAUCUGUCGCAACUUCUCAACUCAAAGUGAAAAGCGCAGCGGCCAGCACAGAGCCAAGUGGCAUGGAAAAUGAAAUGCGCAACAACUGUGGCCGGGCCCUCAAGUCUGCAGCUGAAAGCUGAGGCGCGCUUUGGAGCUGCUUAACAAAUCUCGUGACAGCGCCCCAAAGUGGCCCCGAAACAAACAAACAAAUGGUUAACAAGAACUGAGCCAAGUCAUUGACAGACUGCGAAAGAAAUAGGGAAAACCAAAAAAGAAAAACUACUUUAUAAGCAUGAAAGUCAAUGGAAGUGCGAGCGAGUCGGCAAAAACGAAAAGUUGAGAAAAAUAUAAUGCAGAGAAAGUAAAAACCGAGCAACUUCUUGCGUCUGGACGCUUAA